UACGUAGGGGGCUAGCGUUGUCUGGAAUCAUUGGGCGUAAAGAGCGUGUAGGCGGCCCGGUAAGUCCGCUGUGAAAGUCGGGGGCUCAACCCUCGAAUGCCGGUGGAUACUGUCGGGCUAGAGUGCGGAAGAGGCGAGUGGAAUUCCUGGUGUAGCGGUGAAAUGCGCAGAUAUCAGGAGGAACACCGAUUGCGAAGGCAGCUCGCUGGGACGUAACUGACGCUGAGACGCGAAAGCGUGGGGAGCAAACAGG
rnacentral:rRNA from 1 species